UGAGAAACACCCAAGAAUGAUCAAUAAAAAAAAAAAAAAUAAAAUAAAGUAGAAGGGUGGGGGAAAUGUGAUUAUUCCAAACCCGGCGUGUCUUUAUGAUUUUAUAUCCAACUGAUCAUUCAGGGAGGUUAUUAGGACAGUGGUUGAAACAGAAAUUUAGGAUAAUAUUCUAAGAAACAGAAAAAGCAGUCUUCUCAUUCUAACUGGCAAAACCAACAGAGAUAACAAAAAAAAAUUUUUUUUUUCCCCAGGAAGAGCGUGUGCAUUCAAACUUGUUCAUUCAUUAAUUUGAGUUGAAGGGAGGGGGACGUCCUUGGUGGAAAAGUUAAAGAAAGUGCUCUGGAUGAGAAAUUCACAGGGAGACAUAAGACAACAGCUCAGAGUGGAAGAAAUAGAUGUUCUCAGGAAGAGGCUGUAUGCUGUCCUGGUUUCGAGCAUCUGCCCUACAGUCAGAAUGCCUGCAUUUGAAAUAAGUUUCUGCCACGAACUAGCUGUAAGACCGUGGGGUCUCUCUCUGUCACCCACACUGGACUGCAGUAGCAUAAUCACAGCUCACUGCAGCCUUGACUUCCUGGGCUUGAGCAGUCCUCUCACCUCAGCCUCCUGAGUAGCUGGGACCACAGGUAUGUACCACCACAUGGCACUAAUUAAAAAAAAAAUUUUUUUUUGUAGAGCUGGAUCUUGCUAUGUUGCCCAGACUGGUCUCUUAACUCCUGGCCUCAAGCAAUCCUCCUGCCUUGGGCUCCCAAAGUGUUGAGAUUACAGGCAUGAGCCAUUGUGCCUGGUCUAUUAUUGCUUUUUAACAGUUAAUAUUAAUAUAGAUUUACCAGUAUUUUUACUAACUUCUCUGUUCACCAUUAGUACUUACAGCGGGUCCUUUCUCCUGGGUUUAAUUUCUUUUCUUUCUCUCUCUCUCUCUCUCCCUCUCUCUCUCUCCUCUCUCUCUCUCUCUCUCUCUCUCUCUUUCUUUCUUUCGCAGGCAGAGUGGGCCUGGUGCAGCAGGGCUGACCACCAGUUUACUUUCUUUCAUUUUAAGUGUAU
rnacentral:lncRNA from 1 species